UUAAGUUCAGCGGGUAUCCCUACUUGAUCCGAGGUCAACCUGAAUGGAGAGGUUUGACGGCGCGACGCCCCUGACCCGCACGAGCGAACCGAAUGGUCACGACGCUCGGGGACAGGCGCACCGGCCGGCGACAUUGAGGCGCGCGGCGGACCGCGGACGCCCAAGACCCAGCGAGGCUGGAGGGGUGUAAUGACGCUCGA
rnacentral:misc_RNA from 1 species